rnacentral:lncRNA from 1 species
ACAAUACUCAUCCAGGCGGAUGGCCCACCAGCGCAAAGGGCUGAAAAGUUCCAUGGCAGCCUCAUAACUGGAGGGUGUGUCCAUGAGGAGGGUUUCGAUGACACGCUGAAAGCUCGGGCAGAUCUCUGCAGAAGCUGCAACACAGAGGAGAGAAGGCACAUGUCUCCAGGCCCCUUUCCAAGCUGGCUAGCCCUCUGGCUGGGUCUGCCCAGAUGCAAACAGCCAGGCCCAUCAGCGAGAGAUAGCAGCCUUUUCAUCGAUGGACUAGAGUGUAAGAUUUGUGGAUUGCCCGAGUCUUCCUUAGACUUCUUGGGUUGAGGUGAGCAAGGUGCCGUUUUUCUUUCUGUUGGAGAUCAAGGCAGAGUAUUGAUCAUAGAAGCUGCUGGCCUGAUUUUUUAAUGCAGUGUGGAGGCUGGGAAGAGGCCACUGAGGGUUUUAUUUCCCACCAGAAACUUGCCUCUCAUCAGUGGUUAGAGAUGCCCUGAGCCAUGCUUCACUGGGGGCAUGUGA